GUGGGGAAUUUUGGACAAUGGGCGCAAGCCUGAUCCAGCAAUGCCGCGUGCAGGAAGAAGGCCUUCGGGUUGUAAACUGCUUUUGUACGGAACGAAAAGGCUCUGGCUAAUACCUGGAGCUCAUGACGGUACCGUAAGAAUAAGCACCGGCUAACUACGUGCCAGCAGCCGCGGUAAUACGUAGGGUGCGAGCGUUAAUCGGAAUUACUGGGCGUAAAGCGUGCGCAGGCGGUGCUGUAAGACAGGCGUGAAAUCCACGGGCUCAACCUGGGAAUUGCGCUUGUGACUGCAGCGCUGGAGUGCGGCAGAGGGGGAUGGAAUUCCGCGUGUAGCAGUGAAAUGCGUAGAUAUGCGGAGGAACACAGAUGGCGAAGGCAAUCCCCUGGGCCUGCACUGACGCUCAUGCACGAAAGCGUGGGGAGCAAACAGGAUUAGAAACCCGUGUAGUCC
rnacentral:rRNA from 1 species